rnacentral:rRNA from 1 species
AGCAUGCAAGUCAAACGGGAUGUAGCAAUACAUCUAGUGGCGAACGGGUGAGUAACGCGUGGAUGAUCUACCUACGAGAUGGGGAUAACUAUUAGAAAUAGUAGCUAAUACCGAAUAAAGUCAAUUAAUUUGUUAAUUGAUGAAAGGAAGCCUUUAAAGCUUCGCUUGUAGAUGAGUCUGCGUCUUAUUAGUUAGUUGGUAGGGUAAAUGCCUACCAAGGCGAUGAUAAGUAACCGGCCUGAGAGGGUGAACGGUCACACUGGAACUGAGAUACGGUCCAGACUCCUACGGGAGGCAGCAGCUAAGAAUCUUCCGCAAUGGGCGAAAGCCUGACGGAGCGACACUGCGUGAAUGAAGAAGGUCGAAAGAUUGUAAAAUUCUUUUAUAAAUGAGGAAUAAGCUUUGUAGGAAAUGACGAAGUGAUGACGUUAAUUUAUGAAUAAGCCCCGGCUAAUUACGUGCCAGCAGCCGCGGUAAUACG